GCCGCCAUUGGUGCCGGCCCCGAGGCAGCGCGGGCGCGGAUCGUGCGACCUUCAGCCCUGCGCGCCCUCAGCUCCGGCCCGGAGCCGCACAGCGGCCGCCGGCGCCAUGGCCGCCUUGGCACGAACCCUGCGUGGGCGCAGGCGGUGCCAGCGCCGGUGGGAUGGCGGCGGGGCCGGAUGCUAUCCCGGCCACUGCCGCGCCCUCACAGCGGAGCACUGCCGGGCGCCAGCCGUGUCCGAGCGGGCAGCGGGGCACGCUGUGCGGCUGAGAUCGACACGGUGACCGCCUCAGCCCGGCCUCAGCCCGCCGCAGGCGCGGCCCUCGAGCAGAGCGAAGGGAAGUUCCAACAGUGCUCCCCCCGGCCCAGCAGCCGUCAGUCGACACCUACAGGUUUUGAGGAAGACGAAGUCACUUCCUCGGAGUCACUGUGUCCAUGAAGCAUUCCCUAAAUGGUCGGCCUUCCGUGUUUAGUCUGUACCAGCUCACGCUCUGUUUUAUAGCACUUCAUUUGAUUGCACACUCUGUGAUCCAUGGCUGAAGCCUGGCCUUUCAUUGUUCUGAAUUCUAGGUGACAACCACUAUUAAAAAGAAGGCUUUAGACCUCCUUUUAAAGAUACAUAGUUUGAUUUUCAGCUGCUUUUUUAUCAUCCCAUCUUUUCCAAACAGAUAAAAGAGAACACACUCCACCAUAACACUCUUCAUGGACUGCCAUUAGGGUAUUUAUAAAAGAGUAAGUUUGAAAGUUUCAGAAUAAACUCUGUAAACUAAGACUGGCAUACUUUGUUCAGAAAGGUUGAGAGCACACUGGAAAAUUUUUCCUCUUAAGAAAACAUACAAACAUCAUCGGGAGAGAAAAUUAGCAAAGAGGAAAUGUUACAAACAUUUUUCUUGUGGUUAAAUCCCUGCUCUUUUCUAUGGAUAUAUGAGGGCAUAUGCAUGACUCAAGCUUGCCAUUCAAAUAUAGUAUUUCCUGUAAAUUUAAUUUUACAGCAAGAGUAAUGAAGACACUGGCUGUUAGCAAGGAAAGCAAUACACUGGCCACAUCAAGUUAGAGGUGAUGCUUGUCUCACUGUCAUCACUAUAGUAGUAGAUAUUGCCACCUUCCUAGCUGUUCAGCUGAAUUGGGAUACAAACUGGAAAAAAAAAAUGCAACUUGCAUUAUACAUGUUGUAUGUAGUGUAGCUGGUUACUUCUCUGAUAUUUCAGAAACCUAACAGUUCUAGUAUUGCAGACAAAAGCAUUAACCAGCACAGAAUCUGAAAAAAAAAACCAACCUGAAGAACUAGAUUUCUCUAUUACCUAAGCAUAUUUACAAACGUACCAUCAUAAAUUCAAAACAUUGAUUAAUCUUGACAUCUCUGGUACAUGUCAGCAAACCUCUUUACUGAAGUCUUCAGAAAGGUCAUGAAAAGGAAAGGCAUGGAGCAGUCAGUGUGGGAGUUCAUGUUAGCAUGCAAGACUGUCUGACAUCCAAAUGUGAUUUUUUUAUUCAAAGUAGUAAAGAUUAUUCUAACAGAACUUUGUAAUAAAAUAAAAUAUUACUGAACAAGAUAUUCUGGGAAGAGCAAUGGAAAAAUUAAUUAAAAAAUAGGCACUAAGACUCAAAACACGGCAGACCUAGUUUAAAAGCGAAAACCAACACCCCAACAUUAUUUUGAGAGAACUACAGGUAUUGUGGUUCCACAGUAUCUGUUUGUAAUUUCUGUAUUUUCUUCAGUCAGAGCAAGGACUAUGAUUAAUGCCCUUCUACUGGCCAAAAAAGGGACAGAACGUUACAUGGACAGUGGUUUUCAGAAACAUGACCAAACAUGUGCAUUUCCAUGUCCAUAAGGACAGUGGUCAACCUGGCAGACCUCUGUUAUUUACAGGCAGGGAACUUCUCUCUGACUGCUUGGCAAUUGUUUCCUUAUGAACUACCAUUAAAAGCCCAAGAGAAUUAGAUGCAUCAUCAAAAGAACUCAAUGUUAAAUGCAAGACUCCCAAGACAUUAUCUAAAAAAUACCCCAAACCAAAAAACCUGUAUACAUAUGACCCGAAGUAUUAAAAUUGUCAAGAUCUGGUUUGCAAAACAGUCUUUUAUUGUAUCCGUGCCACACAUACUAGUGAAAAAUAACACUCCUAAAAAGGGAAAAGAAAAAGAAUGCUACCUUUCCACAACAUUUCUUUUAAAUAAAACUUCAAGUACUCUUACAUUAGUACAAAAAAAAAAUUCCGAUCUAUCUGCCCCAACAAGCCACCACAACACACAGUAGAUAAAACACAGUGGUUACAAAUGUCUUCGUUUGUUAUUCUGUGGCAAGGCAAAUGGAGGAAAUGUUUCUAUGAAAAAAUACUGUGUGCGUAGGAAAUUGUCACAAUUUUCUUCCACAUGGAUACAAAUGAUUAUACUUGGAUUUGAGGCUGUGGGGGCUUGAAAUUAUAUAACAAAAUAGAAAAAUGGAAAACUAAUAUCCCCUACACCCUGUUUUAAAGGCAGGCACUACCAAGAUUAAGGAGACUCCACAGUGUUGGUAGAGGAUAAUUACUGUACAAGCCAUAGAGCUAUAAUUACCUUAAGACUAAAAUAAAAUGCUACCAUCCUCCUAAGGCAUAAACAAUAAUGUCUGCAAACAAUAUGUACACAUCAUACAUAUUUAAAACAAGACUUAAUAUAAACAAUAAUGAACAGUAUAUACAUGUCUCAAUUUUUCUUCACCGUCUUGAAAUACAAUUUAACUACACAAGUGAUGCAGCAACAUAUAUAUAAAUGUACUUGUAACUCUACAGUAAAGUUUAAUUUUUAGUGCCUUCAUAGCACAUCAGUGUAAACAGUUUUACUUGGCUUUGUUUUAUAUUUUAAAACAUUCCUUGUUGUAUUUUCAACAUUUAAAGCAAUUUUCUAGUUCUUCCUUUUCACAGAAAACGAAGAUUCUGAAUGCUGUAUAAUCAUAAAUAAUUCAUAAAAUUAAAUACAUUCACUAAAAAAUAAACUACAAAGUAAAAAAAAAAGAAAAAUAGAUAUUUAUUGAAAGGGAAAAGAGAACCAUUUCCCCAAGUAGAGCUCUGAUGGUUGAAUAUUCAGUGCGUUUUGAAAAUUGCUAUUGCACUAUAACACCCCUUUCUUUGAAAUUCUUUGGGUGUGCUUCCCUGUUCUACCUAAAUUAGUUUGUUAAAACACACAAACCAAUAACCAAGGGGCCAUGGUUGCUGUAGGAGUGAAGCCUUUAAAACUAGUAUCACAACUCCGUGGUAUUUCGAAGGAAAAAAUUAGUUAUGUGCCUUGCACUUCCGUGUAAAUAUAGUUCACAUUGCUGGUCUUAUCAGUCCUCAAUUAAUGGAAGGAAAAAAAAAAGAAAAAAAAAA